ACCUACGUCCACACCACCUUGACCGUGCCUGGUUCCAUCUGAUCUUGAAAACUAAGCCGGGGAAGACCUGUUUAGUAUUUGAAUGAGAGAGCACGUGGGAAUAAUGGGUGCUGUGGGCU
rnacentral:rRNA from 1 species